rnacentral:rRNA from 1 species
UUAUUGGGCGUAAAGCGUCCGCAGGCGGCCCUUUCAAGUCUGCUGUUAAAAAGUGGAGCUUAACUCCAUCAUGGCAGUGGAAACUGUUGGGCUUGAGUGUGGUAGGGGCAGAGGGAAUUCCCGGUGUAGCGGUGAAAUGCGUAGAUAUCGGGAAGAACACCAGUGGCGAAGGCGCUCUGCUGGGCCAUCACUGACGCUCAUGGACGAAAGCCAGGGGAGCGAAAAGGGAUUAGAUACCCCUGUAGUCCUGGCCGUAAACGAUGAACACUAGGUGUCGGGGGAAUCGACCCCCUCGGUGUCGUAGCCAACGCGUUAAGUGUUCCGCCUGGGGAGUACGCACGCAAGUGUGAAACUCAAAGGAAUUGACGGGGGCCCGCACAAGCGGUGGAGUAUGUGGUUUAAUUCGAUGCAACGCGAAGAACCUUACCAGGGUUUGACAUCCUGCGAAUCUCUUGGAAACGAGAGAGUGCCUUCGGGAGCGCAGUGACAGGUGGUGCAUGGCUGUCGUCAGCUCGUGUCGUGAGAUGUUGGGUUAAGUCCCGCAACGAGCGCAACCCACGUCUUUAGUUGCCAGCAUUUAGUUGGGCACUCUAGAGAGACCGCCGGUGAUAAACCGGAGGAAGGUGUGGAUGACGUCAAGUCAUCAUGCCCCUUACAUCCUGGGCUACACACGUACUACAAUGCUACGGACAAAGGGCAGCAAGUUCGCGAGGACAAGCAAAUCCCAUAAACCGUGGCUCAGUUCAGAUCGUAGGCUGCAACUCGCCUACGUGAAGGAGGAGUCGCUAGUAAUCGCAGGUCAGCAUACUGCGGUGAAUACGUUCCCGGGCCUUGUACACACCGCCCGUCACACCAUGGAAGUUGGCCACGCCCGAAGCCGUUACUCCAACCCUUGUGGAGGAGGACGUCGAAGGUGGGGCUGAUGACUGGGGUGAAGUCGUAACAAGGUAGCCGUA